AACGAACGCUGGCGGCGCGUCUUAAGCAUGCAAGUCGGACGGUAAGGAAGGAGCUUGCUUCUUCCCUAGAGUGGCGGACUGGUGAGGAACGCGUGGGUGACGCACCCUCCGGACGGGGAUAGCCGGUAGAAAUACCGGGUAAUACCCGGAUAAGAGCGCCUCCUUGGAGGGAGGCGGAGAAAGCGGCUUCGGCCGCGCCGGAGGAACGGCCCGCGUGCUAUUAGCUAGUUGGCGGGGUAACGGCCCACCAAGGCGACGAUAGCUAUCCGGCCUGAGAGGGUGAACGGACACAUUGGGACUGAGAUACGGCCCAGACUCCUACGGGAGGCAGCAGCUAAGAAUAUUCCGCAAUGGGGGAAACCCUGACGGAGCGACGCCGCGUGAACGAAGAAGGUGGAAACAUUGUAAAGUUCUUUUAAUUGAGAGGAAUAAGCUUUAGUAGGAAAAUGACAGAGUGGUGACGGUAGCGCCUGAAUAAGCAACGGCUAAUUACGUG
rnacentral:rRNA from 1 species